GAGUGGGCUCUUGUUGCUCUGCACGGUGCACAGUAGAUUAUGCGUGCUUUUCAGGAACAAUGUUACAUCGAAGAUAAUGUCACGUUGAUCAAUCAUAUGUUCUUACAAUACAUGCUGUAGUUAUCAGUUGUAAUAGUAUGAACCACUAAAGUGUUUUCAGUGGUAAAUUUUUUUGGUCUAUAAUGGGAACACAGUGUGAAUAUAUGUUCCUAUGUGCACUGUCUAGUGUCUACACCAAUCACUGUCAAAACAAAGGAAUUGUCAGACAGUGACCGAAUCAGCUGCUGAAUGAUAGCGACAACAAAAGUAUGAUGGAAAACACAAACUUGGGUUGUACAAGAAAACAAAUGAAUCUAUGUUUCUCAUUAUCACCUAAACUGACUAUGGCUUUGAUAUGUUUUGCUAUAUACCUGCAGGAAUUUGAGAGGCAGAUCUCCCCUAGUCCGUGCACCGGGCAUGGCAUCUGGUUCAAGCACAUUGGUCAGGAAGGCAAGCCUUCCAUCCUUGGUGCACCCCAUCCAUGUUCCUCCACCAAGCACAUCCCUGCCACCAAGGAUCUUCUUUGAGCCUUCACCCCACCAUCCUACUGCUUUUGUAGGCCUGCAUCAGUUCAUCAAGAAAAAGAUACAGAGUGAUGAACACUGAACAGCUAGCAUUGUUGUUUUGCAGUGGGUAACCUUUUCUAUAGCCUAUAGGUUUCUCUAGCAGUAUUUUGCUUCUGAGAACUGAAUGGAUGAUAUGAGUAUGCACGGUAUUAUAUGAGCAGAGCAUCACAUCUGACUCGUGGUUCAUGGAAAUUGUGUCAGUGAAUGUAUAACUUAGGAGGCAAAAAAAAGUACCCAAUUUUGAAAGCAGUAUCACAUAUGGCAGAGCUAUUACUUGCAGAUUGGGGUCCUACAAAGAUCAAUAAAACAAGGCAAAAUCACUCACCUGCUGUGGAACUCAUCUCUGUUGAGAAGCAGGAGGAGUUGGUGCACAGGGUGAGCCUGCCAAAUCCAUGCAGCAAUGCACAUGGCUUCAGGUGGUUUCUACCCUUCUGUUUGGUUGUAAGUAACUCGCUUGUUUUGCAGCUAUCUUAGCUGAUGGUUCUGCCUUGCACACGCCUUUGUAUUUAUAAGGAGAAGGUUGGGAGGGAGGAGAGCAAAAGCACAAGGAGCCCACAGAGUGUUUGCAUUAUUGGCUGCAACCAGGCCCCAGGAAACCCAUCCAUAUCUGAACGAAACCAAGGCGUGCUGGAUUGGGAUAAACAAAAGCGUUGGCGCUUGUGCUUGGCUGUGGUGGUUCACACCUGUUUGAGCUCAAAAAACAGCAUGCCCUGGCCUGCACUGCACGGCGGUUUUCAGGCACUCGUCAUCUACUUUAUCUGUUUCCAAGUACGAUGUUCUUUCUUGUUGCAAGACGUAUUUGUUAUUUUCGGCUCGUGUUUAUCCUGUCGUCUGAUGGAUGAUGUUUAUCCUGUCGUGUGAUGGAUGAUGUGCUACCAAUUUGUAAAAAUAACAGCAUCGUCACAUGCAGGAUUCUUAUCUUUUAGGCACAAGGUUUUCUGUUGAAAAUAUAAUAUAGAAGCGGCCGCUGUGUAUAGAAUUGAAUUAAA